UGGGGAAUUUUGGACAAUGGGCGCAAGCCUGAUCCAGCCAUGCCGCGUGAGUGAAGAAGGCCUUCGGGGUUGUAAAGCUCUUUCGGCCGGGAAGAAAUCGUGGUCUCUAACAUAGGCCAUGGAUGACGGUACCGGACUAAGAAGCACCGGCUAACUACGUGCC
rnacentral:rRNA from 1 species